CCUACGGGAGGCAGCUGUAGGGAAUCUUCCACAAUGGGCGAAAGCCUGAUGGAGCAACGCCGCGUGGGUGAAGAAGGUCUUCGGAUCGUAAAACCCUGUUGUUAGAGAAGAAAGUGCGUGAGAGUAACUGUUCACGUUUCGACGGUAUCUAACCAGAAAGCCACGGCUAACUACGUGCCAGCAGCAGCGGUAAUACGUAGGUGGCAAGAGUUAUCCGGAUUUAUUGGGAGUAAAGGGAACGCAGGCGGUCUGUUAAGUCUGAUGUGAAAGCCUUCGGCUUAACCGGGGUAGUGCAUUGGAAACUGGGAGACGUGAGUGCAGAAGAGGUGAGUGGAACUCCAGGUGUAGCGGUGAAAUGCGUAGAUAUAUGGAAGAACACCGGUGGCGAAAGCGGCUCUCUGGUCUGUAACUGACGCUGAGGUUCGAAAGCGUGGGUAGCAAACAGGAUUAGAUACCCGAGUAGUC
rnacentral:rRNA from 1 species